UACGAAGGGUGCAAGCGUUACUCGGAAUUACUGGGCGUAAAGCGCACGUAGGCGGCUUUGUAAGUAAGAGGUGAAAGCCCAGAGCUCAACUCUGGAAUUGCCUUUUAGACUGCAUCGCUUGAAUCAUGGAGAGGUCAGUGGAAUUCCGAGUGUAGAGGUGAAAUUCGUAGAUAUUCGGAAGAACACCAGUGGCGAAGGCGGCUGACUGGACAUGUAUUGACGCUGAGGUGCGAAAGCGUGGGGAGCAAACAGG
rnacentral:rRNA from 1 species